ensembl:lncRNA
GGCUACAGAGCUGCUCCCUGUCAGUCAGGCUCUGAAAAUCUUCCCUUUACCACCCCCUCCCUGCUGGAUGUCACACUCAGGGCAGCUCCUCUCUGCAGUGGAGAUGGCACCUCAUAUACCCUCAGUCAAGGUGUAAUUUGGAAAGAUGAAAAAGCUCCCAAGAUGAAUUCCUGAGAAGUUACACAAUUGGCACAAUGCAGGAUGCAGAUUUCUCAAUGAAUCAUGAACUCUUGCUGCCUAGGAAUAGCUGUCACACUGCAAACAAGAUUUUCAAGGCUGUCCAAUGUUUGGUUACCAGGUUCUAUAUGAAUUCAAGAACAAAACAAAAACAUGUGCAUCCCUCCAGAAUCUGGAAUGCAAAUCUCAAUGUACUUUCCUGUAGUUAUAGCUAACGGGGACAAUUUCCCCCCAAAUUUAAGGAGCCAAUUAGGUCUUACCAGGCAAUGAAAAGUCAAGUCCCUCUCUCCACCAGCCACAUAUCUAUCCAGAUGGGCUUUGCUGGUGGCUCAGAUGGUAAAGAAUCCACCUGCAGUGCUGGAGACCUGGGAUCGAUUCCUGGGUUAGGAAGAUCCUCUGGAGGAAGUGAUCGGUGAAUCUUUGAGCCAAGGUUUUCCCACCUUCAACCCAGCAGCAAGCAAAAUGGAAGAACCGAAAGGCAGGAGGUAAUGAAGGAGAAAUUCCAGGUGGCCAACAAAGGGAAGAUGGAUUCGAGACUGCCGUUGACCAAAGAAUUAAAAAACCUGAGGCAAAGAAAAGCUAGGAAGCAUGAAAUUUUAGGAGCCCUGCUUUCCUGUCUCCAGUUCUUGACCUCACAGAAGCUAUGGGCAGAUGUGAGAGUGAGGGUUUGUAAGAAUGACUCCUUUUUACUGCUUCAACAGAUCAUCGUCUGACUCCACCAUCAGUGUGACAUAGACGACAGGAAGUUCUGGGCUAACAAUCAGAUCGUCCAGCCUCUAGCUGAUACAUGCCUCACUGCCUCCCACUAGACUCAGUUACUGGACGGUGCAGGACAGCUGUGCACACUUUCAUCU